rnacentral:rRNA from 1 species
AGUAAAUAGAUACCCGGGUAGUCCACGCCGUAAACGAUGAAUACUAGGUGUAGGAGGUAUCGACUCCUUCUGUGCCGCAGUUAAACACAAUAAGUAUUCCGCCUGGGGAGUACGGUCGCAAGAUUAAAACUCAAAGGAAUUGACGGGGCCCGCACAAGCAGCGGAGCAUGUGGUUUAAAUUCGAAGCAACGCGAAGAACCUUACCUAGACUUGACAUCUUCUGCAUUAAUCGUAAUGGAUGAAAUCCCUUCGGGGACAGAAUGACAGGUGGUGCAUGGUUGUCGUCAGCUCGUGUCGUGAGAUGUUGGGUUAAGUCCCGCAACGAGCGCAACCCUAUUAUUAGUUGCUAACAUUAAGUUGAGCACUCUAGUGAGACUGCCCGGGUUAACCGGAGGAAGGUGGGGAUGACGUCAAAUCAUCAUGCCCCUUAUGUCUAGGGCUACACACGUGCUACAAUGGUGGGAACAAAGAGAUGCAAUACCGCGAGGUGGAGCUAAACUCAAAACCCCAUCCCAGUUCGGAUUGUAGGCUGAAACUCGCCUAC